AUUGAACGCUGGCGGCAGGCCUAACACAUGCAAGUCGAGCGGAAACGAGUUGUUUGAACCUUCGGGGGACGACAACGGCGUCGAGCGGCGGACGGGUGAGUAAUGCCUGGGAAAUUGCCCUGAUGUGGGGGAUAACCAUUGGAAACGAUGGCUAAUACCGCAUAAUAGCUUCGGCUCAAAGAGGGGGACCUUCGGGCCUCUCGCGUCAGGAUAUGCCCAGGUGGGAUUAGCUAGUUGGUGAGGUAAGGGCUCACCAAGGCGACGAUCCCUAGCUGGUCUGAGAGGAUGAUCAGCCACACUGGAACUGAGACACGGUCCAGACUCCUACGGGAGGCAGCAGUGGGGAAUAUUGCACAAUGGGCGCAAGCCUGAUGCAGCCAUGCCGCGUGUAUGAAGAAGGCCUUCGGGUUGUAAAGUACUUUCAGCAGUGAGGAAGAUGGUGUGUUUAAUACGCGCAUCGUUUGACGUUAGCUGCAGAAGAAGCACCGGCUAACUCCGUGCCAGCAGCCGCGGUAAUACGGAGGGUGCGAGCGUUAAUCGGAAUUACUGGGCGUAAAGCGCAUGCAGGUGGUUUGUUAAGUCAGAUGUGAAAGCCCGGGGCUCAACCUCGGAAUAGCAUUUGAAACUGGCAGACUAGAGUACUGUAGAGGGGGGUAGAAUUUCA
rnacentral:rRNA from 1 species